UGACGUAGGGUGCAAAGCGUUAAUUCGGGAAUUACUGGGCUGUAAAGCGUGCGCAGGCCGGUUUUGUAAGUUUGUCGUGAAAUCCCCGGGCUCAACCUGGGAAUGGCGAUGAAAGACUUGCAAGGCUAGAAUCUGGCAGAGGGGGGUAGAAUUCCACGUGUAGCAGUGAAAUGCGUAGAGAUGUGGAGGAACACCGAUGGCGAAGGCAGCCCCCUGGGAUCAAGAUUGGACGCUACAUGCACGAAAGGCGUGGGAGCAAACAGGAUUAGAGU
rnacentral:rRNA from 1 species